rnacentral:rRNA from 1 species
GACGAACGCUGGCGGCGUGCUUAACACAUGCAAGUCGAACGGAAAGGCCCUGCUUUUGUUGGGUGCUCGAUUGGCGAACGGGUGAGUAACACGUGAGUAACCUGCCCUUGACUUUGGGAUAACUUCAGGAAACUGGGGCUAAUACCGGAUAGGAGCUCCUGCUGCAUGGUGGGGGUUGGAAAGUUUCGGCGGUUGGGGAUGGACUCGCGGCUUAUCCGCUUGUUGGUGGGGUAGUGGCUUACCAAGGCUUUGACGGGUAGCCGGCCUGAGAGGGUGAACGGCCACAUUGGGACUGAGAGACGGACCAGACGCCUACGGGAGGCAGCAGGGGGGAAUAUUGCACAAUGGGCGGAAGUCUGAUGCAGCAACGCCGCGUGCGGGAUGACGGGCUUCGGGUUGUAAACAGCUUUCGCCUGUGACGAAGAGUGAGUGACGGUAAUGGGUAAAGAAGCAACGGCUAACUACGUG